rnacentral:rRNA from 1 species
AUGCCGCCUCCUUGGCUGUUGUUGUCGUCUCCUCAAAUAAGUCGUAUCAGCGCAUUUAGGCUCUGGUCAACAAGUGGACGGACAGGUUGUCCAUUCUUGUUGUUCUUGCGUGUCAAGAUUCUUGGCUGCAGACUUGCAGGUAUCAAAUACACCAUGAUUGCAGCAGGUGUUGGAAGAAAUCAUCCGAUGGUCAUAACUGACAAAGGAAGUGCUUUGUAUACGGACAAGCUGGGGACGAGUUCACUAAGGAGUGGGACUAAGGUGUCACCACUCCCCUGCCUUGUUACUAAAGCAACUAAUGUUGUUUGUGGUGCUGACUUCACUAUCUAA